UAAAAUCAUGUUUUGUGGUUGAACAGUUUUAAAUCAUGUAGAUUUAGCAUAAAAUGCAACAACUUAAAAUUUACUUGAAUAAUUUAUGUUAAAACAACCUAAUUCUAAUGGGUUAAGAUUGCAAAUCAAUAACACUCCAAAGCAGUAGGUGGCAGUAAUGAGCACAUUCCCCUCUCUUGAAGGCCACGGUCAAAGGUGAGUGAGUCCCCGACUCUGGCUGGCAGAAGGAGUAGACAUUUUGAAAAGAAAUUUCAAGUGUGGAAGAAGCUAACUGCUGAAUUUAAGAGGAUUACAACCAUCAGUUUGCUGUCAAAGUUCUUCUCCCAGCUGGAUGCUCAUUCUUCAAACUUGAUGAGGGUGUUUGGCAAGAAAGGCGGCGUUCAAGGAAGAAAGAUAAGGAGCAUCAUGAUACCCAUCACCAAGACUGACGCCAUUGAUGUCAAAAGAGAGUGAAUCAUCAAAGCCCUGUGUGUGUACCUGAAUGAAGAGCCCGAGAACCUUGUGAAAGAAUACAUGAACACAGAUUGUGGGAGCAGUGAAGCUGCAGUGAUGGAGACGACAUUUGGAAUAUUUGUCAUUCGCAAGGAAGGUGCAGAGCCAGU